AUGCGCAUAUAUAUAUAUAUGGGUUGGAGAAGAAGACGCUUGUUGUUGGUGGUAGUUUUUCAUACAAGUGCCAUUUUGUCUGCAUGUCGAGAGCGCCGUGAUUGGAUUUUGUGUGUGGGUAUUGGAGCCAAUCAGAGAAACCGGGCGGCGGACAAACGCAGUAGACUGAAUUGAGGCCUUUCAGAGUUCAUUGACCAUGGAGCAGUACACUACCGCCACCACAUCUACUGGGGAACAGAUAGUGGUUCAGACUGCCGCUGGGCAGAUCCAACAACAGGUGCAGGGGCAGCCUCUGAUGGUGCAGGUGAGCGGUGGUCAGCUCAUCACCUCAUCGGGCCAGCCCAUUAUGGUCAUGGGGGGGCAGGGAGGGCAGGGGCAGACCAUCAUGCAGGUGCCCAUGUCUGGAGCUCAGGGGCUCCAACAGAUCCAGCUGGUGCAGCCAGGUCAGAUCCAGCUCCAGGGGGGACAGACUCUACAGGUACAGGGUCAGCAAGGCCAGACCCAGCAGUUCAUCAUUCAGCAGCCCCAAACUGCUGUGACCGCAGGACAGAACCAGGGCCAGCAGCAGAUUACAUUACAGCCGGGGCAGCAAGUGGCUCAGACUGCAGACGGCCAGACCAUUGUGUACCAGCCAGUCAAUGCUGAUGGGUCCAUUCUACAGCAAGGUAUGAUUACCAUCCCUGCCUCUAGUCUGGCUGGUGCUCAGAUCGUUCAGGCAGGCAACAGCACCAACACAACAAACAGUAGUCAGGGUACAGUGACCGUCACACUGCCUGGCAACAUGGUCAACGCAGGUGGCAUGGUCAUGAUGGUUCCAGGUGGCGGUGGCAGUGUUCCCACCAUGCAGCGUAUCCCCCUGCCGGGGGCGGAGAUGCUGGAGGAAGAGCCUCUGUAUGUCAACGCUAAGCAGUACCACCGCAUCCUGAAGAGACGGCAGGCCCGCGCCAAGCUGGAGGCAGAGGGAAAGAUCCCCAAGGAGAGGAGGAAAUACCUGCACGAGUCUCGUCACAAGCACGCCAUGGCAAGGAAGAGGGGUGAUGGCGGACGCUUUUUCUCGCCGAAGGAGAGGGAGGAGAUGGCUCUGGCCAUGCAGGUGAGGAGGGCUCAGGGUGCCCUCAAACAAGAGGAUGUGUUUGGAGGUGUUGAACUCAACUCUAAUUGGCAACCUACUUCUGUUGCCUCCCUCAGCUAACCAACAAGUAGCAGCCAUUUCCACCCCUCACUCUGUCACAUGUCCACCACAGCCACUCAUUUCCCCUGCACUCUUAAAAUGGUCAUCAUUGCUAUCUUUGUAUGUUUUUAUUACAUUGAUUACCUUGUAGUUUUGUAUCAAAGAAUAGUAUAGUUUUUUACAAUUUUUUUUUUUUUUUUUUUUUUUUGUACUUGUUUUUUGAGUAUAUAGACAGGGGUGCUUUUAGAUGCGGGCAUAUUUUGUUGUGUACCUUCUGUUGUUCUUUUGAUGUAUUCCAGCGACUUGAUCCCUAACCAUGUCUCUGGCAAACCACAAUGAGUUCAAAAGCUCGUUCUUUCACAUAGAGCUGUACAUACUGACCACAGGAGGCUGCUGAGGGGAGAACACCUCAUAAUAAUGUCCAGAACAGAAACAGAGCAGAUUUGUUACCAUUCCAAUUAUUCUGCUCCGGUCAUUAUCACGAGCCCAUCCGCCCCAUUUAAGGUGCCACCAACCUCCUUUGAUACUGACUCAGUAAAAUGUUCUCCAAUGUCAUUUGAAAUGUGUCUUGGCUUUGUUUGAGCUCUUGUUGCAAGCUGAAGAAUGUUGCAAUGUUAAUGUUGCUGUUUUUGUCCAGUGUUGCUUCCUUGCUGUUGUGUUUUCUUGUUAAACUUGUACCAUGUUGUAGUGUAAACAUCUCUGCUAACACCUGUGUUCAUUUAACAGCUGCAGGGCUAGGAGGGGAGUGGUGUAAAGGUACAGGCGGCCCAACCACAUGCUAGAGAAGAGGCAGUCGGGCAGGUGAUCCGUGUGUCAUAACCUCUAGAAGACCUGUGAGGUGUGUGUGUGCUCAUGUGUUUGUCUCUGUGAGAAUGCUUGCGGAGGAGUUGAGAUCAGAUGUCCCACACAUCAAUCAACCAGUGCUUUCCAACCAGUCCCAAGCAGCCCAAGUCCCCUGUUUGGUAGAGAGCAGGACAGACUGGGUGAAGAGAUUGCUAGUACACAGAGAUACUGCACAUACAGAUAUACUGUAACCAUGGUAACACUGGAGAACAAUUGGGCCUUCUGGAGGAAAUUUUAAGAAACAGCACACGUUUCUACAAGAAAGUUUAUUCCAAAGCAACCUUGACUUGUUUCAUGUCAGUUACUUUUAUCUCUGGAUGUGCCACAAGAACUUGAUCAAUAAACACACCAUCCUAUAGGCCACAAGUCCAAAGUGGUUGUUAUGAUAGCCCUCUUCCUUUCCUGCUGCUCUUCAGAAAUAUGAAAUAGUUUUUCUUUUGUACAGAUAAGUUGUGUCCUCUGGUUCAUGAUAUGUAACUAUCAUCACUUAUUUUAAGGCUUUUCAGACUUAAAAAAAUGAUUUCCUGGUUAUUCUAUUUGAAAGGAGCAAUAAUCAAAUGCCUAAUUACCUGCAUCAGUUUUUUACAUUGUGUUGUAACAGUCUUGUAAGAGUGUAGAUGCUUUUUUAAAGCGUUUUAGCAACUUUUUUAUUGCAUAAAUAAAAGGAAACAGCAUUAUCAAAUGUUUUGU